ensembl:lncRNA
UUCUUGCUGGAGAUCCUUGUGCUGUGUGAGGCCUUUUGAAGGAGGCAUCGCAUGCUAUAAAUACUACACAUGCCAGCACAAUUGCCAGAGAAAUGAGGAAAGAAAAUUUCUUGAUCUGGUUGUUUACCCAGUGCCCCCUGAAGGCUAUGUGAUAGAUAUCGUAAGACACAGAAGACAGAUGAUGACGUUCUUGAUUUCAUCUGGGACCUUUCAUAUGACUUCGCUGUCCAUCAUGCUAGAAGCUUUUCAAUUCUGCCUUGCUCAUUACUAAGGGCCUGCUAUUUCAAUCUACGCUGAUGUCAAAUACUUCAGAAGAUAUAGGCUGCCAUGCUGGACUAGAGCAGGAUCCCGCCUCAGAGUACAACCAAUAUAACCUUUAUUGUAGAAUGUUUAGAGAGGAGACCAAGAUACAGUGUAUAGCACAGGAAGAUGAGUCCCAUUUUUUUCUGAGCUGGCAGCGGUCUCUAGAUCAGAAGGACAAACAGAUGAAAAUAUUUUAAUGUCCUGAAUCUGACAUGAAGUCUUACCAUUGUUAAUUAUGAAAAUCCGUGUAUUUUGUGCAUCCUUGCUAUUUUUAGUACCCAAUCUCACACUAAAUUAACUGUAUCACAAAAGCACCUUGCAUCUGUGUGUUUCUUAAUGUUAACAAUAACUUUCAAAAGAAGAUAUUGAAUAUAUAUAGUAUACGUGUGUGAACACAUGAUUAAUAAAUGAAACAGACCCUGCAAAGAGUCAAGUAGAUAUCUUGUGAAAACUUGGGUAAAUUUAGUAUAGGCCGUUACGAUUCUUUCAUUUAUCUAGAGUAAACAUAUAUUUUUCCAGACAAUACUACCCAUUAACAAAGAUGAGAUAAGAAACUAAGUGGGAAAUUAUAUAAAUGAUGGAGACAGUUUCAUUUGAGCAGCUGUAUUACAGUUGAUACUUUGGUCUCCUGUAUGAUUUGUUUAGAUACUCAUGCUCAGCAUCUCUGUAUCAAAAAUAACACCAAAUCAUCAAAUAGACUAUCAGAGUUGUAUGAAGUACCCUCAGAGAAGACUCUUUAAGACUUUUUUGUAUGGUGUUUCUUUGAAAAUUAAAUAAAAUAGUUCAGAAUAAGCCGUGCCACCUAGUACUAUGCUAGCCAUUAGAAACAAUAUUUACCUGCAGCAUAUAUGACUUAUGAAAUACUUACCUUUCUUUGUAAGUUAAACAGCUUCUUAGUUUUGUUUGAAUGCAUGUCAUCCCUGAAAUACCAAAGUUUCAUGCUGGUAAUGUCUGUGUAAUGUAUGUGCCUUUCAGUGUAUAUUUCUAAUUGUCUUAGCCAUUAAUCAAUAUUGCACUAAAAUCAGAGCC